rnacentral:rRNA from 1 species
UAGAGUUUGAUCAUGGCUCAGAGCGAACGCUGGCGGCGUGCUUAACACAUGCAAGUCGAGUGCGCGUCUGUAGCAAUACAGAUGGCGCACGGCGCACGGGUGCGUAACACGUGGGUAAUCUGCCCUUCGAUGGGGAAUAACUCCGGGAAACCGAAGCUAAUUCCGCAUAACAUUCCGAGAACUUUGGUUUUUGGAUUCAAAGGCGUAAGUCGUCGGAGGAGGAGCCCGCGCACGAUUAGCUAGUUGGUAGGGUAACGGCCUACCAAGGCUAUGAUCGUUAGCUGGUCUGAGAGGAUGGCCAGCCACACUGGAACUGAGACACGGUCCAGACUCCUACGGGAGGCAGCAGUGGGGAAUCUUGCACAAUGGGCGAAAGCCUGAUGCAGCGACGCCGCGUGGGGGAUGAAGCUUCUCGGAGUGUAAACCCCUUUCGACCCGGACGAAAACCUCGCAAGAGGAUUGACGGUACGGGUAUAAGAAGCCCCGGCUAACUACGUGCCAGCAGCCGCGGUACGC